AUGAACGCCCGCACACACCGACGCCGUGACGCGAACGCGACCAACUCCACCCACCCAGACGCGACCAAACCUAGCGCGGCGGCGGCGGCUGGCCAGGUCGCGAGGUCCAGGCGGACUCGACGACGGGGCAGUCGACGACGUCAGCGGGCUGGGGGCUUGGAGGGCUGCUGCACAGCGGCGCUUGCAGCGGCGGCUCCGGCGGCGCAGCAAGCGGCGGCUCCAGCGACGCGGGGGCUUCACCGGCGGCUUCAGCAGGCGACGGCCACAGUCGGGGUCGGGGAUUUUUCUGGUAAUCCCUAG
rnacentral:rRNA from 1 species